GAAAAUGUAAUUCGUGGAAUUGAAUUUUGUAUAUUGAUUUGUACAUUGAUUUGUACAGUGGAUACAAUCUCUAGUAUUUAUUCAUAUCAUGUUUUCUCUCAAAUACAAAUUAAAACUUAUAACUUUUUUAUCUUCGGUCUUCCGAAAGUUGUACUUGUAAGUCUAUUUGAGUCUUCAAUCUUUUGGAAUUCAAGAAAAGUUUGAUCUUUCAAGUCUUCAAUCUUUCAGAAGAUGAUGAUCUCGAAGUUGAUAAGAAUUAACACGUCUUGAGAGCUUUUAGAAGUUUGAGUCUUCAAUUUUUUUAGAGCUUCAAUUCUUU
rnacentral:lncRNA from 1 species